UUGUCUGAACUGCUGAAACAACAACAGGGGCAGGGAUGUGGAGGGAGGAAAUCAGGCCAUAGGCUCUUCCAAAAAUCCUCAUCUGGUCACUUCUGAUGGAUGGGAAGGGAGCCUGCACUAGGGCCUCUCAAGAUGCCUGGAAGUCAAAAUAUUGAAAGAGAAUCAAAUUUACAGGAGAAAGAAGAUCUUAAAGACCUGCAUGGAUGGAUUUUUGUUGAAUGCUUCUAUAAGCAUUGAAGCUUGAGUUGAACAAAUCCCUUUUCCUUCAGUGAUUGGGGAUUGUCCCUAUGAAAAAGCUGGGGUGUACACCUGGUGAGAUUAGUGGGAACUUCAGUCAGGUCCUUGCAAGGCCCCUUUUGUAUCUGAUGCUACUACCAAGAAGAACACAGAUAAUUGUACAGGUGUUCCUCUGAGGAGAAGGACUAUCCAUGGCCCAGGUGUGGUUACACUUCAGCUUGGGCAAUCACCCCCAGCUCAUGACUCUUCCAAAGAACUCAGGUCCUGCUUGCAAUGGGGUCUUGGCUGCAAAUCUACUCCAUGUCAAAUCAUCUGUUUCCUCCAAGCCACCAUAAUUGCAUGAAUGGCUCAUUUGAAAUGGAUCUGGGCAACAACUAUGCUUGAUUUUGUGAAGGAAAUGCUGAAACUGAACUACUGAAAAGUGGUAGUAAGUGAGAAGUAAAUUAAAUCCUAUAACUGCAGAUGGGUCUUUAUCUUUCACGUCUUCUUGAUAACUUCAAAGACCACUCAUUUUCGUAGUGUGCUUGCUUUUAAUGAAUCAAGUUUCAAA
ensembl:lncRNA